UCAGAGAGUAGUUUAGUGUAAAAUGCCAGCUUUGGGAGUUGGUGAUGAAGGUUUGAACCCUUUCUUUCUGA
rnacentral:tRNA from 1 species